UGUCCUCGUUUGGUAGGUUCCACAUUAAGUGGUGGGAUAUGGAGCUUUUGACAGUGGAAGGACCCGGUGCCCAUCUGGACUAGCUACCAGUGAGCUCAUCUUUCUAUUGAACAUGUUAACCACAUAAAUUUAGUCUGGAAGACCAAAGCCCGUUGUAUCAUGGGAUUGCUCAGAUUCUUCUCUUUGCUUCUGCUUCUCAGCUGGACAGCAGUGGGGACAGGGCAUGGCCAUCUGCUUUUGUGACUCCAGCCGCUGGUGCACUGGCUUUUCUAUACCGGGAAAAGCAUCAGCUGAGAGACGGCAGCUUCCCUCUUCUGUGAUGUGCACCCCUUGCCUGUCCCCUUUGGCGGAAUUGCCAGAACACCUGACACCAUUUUGAACCGUAGGGUGGUUGACUCCAGUUCCUCC
rnacentral:sRNA from 1 species